rfam:Actinomyces sp. S6-Spd3 contig281, whole genome shotgun sequence.
GGGGAUGAUCGGUUUCGACAGCGGUCGUCGAUCGAGGGGAAGCGAGCCGAGGAGGCAUGCUCUACUCGUUAACGAUGUGUGCAAACAAAUAGGUGCCGAACAGAAUCGCACCGACUACGUUCUCGCCGCCUGAUUGCCGCGUGAACCUUUAGUCCGUCAGCCCGGAAGCUGCUUCCGGUCCGGUGUCUGGCGUCGUCUAGGAAGCCACUGGGUGCCGUUCGUGUUGGUAGGACGGCUCCGACACUCAAUCAACUGAGCCUAUCUGGUAGCAGGUCUGCAUGAUGCCAGGGGCUGAGAAAUAACUCGCAGACUGCGCUCGGAGAAGACCUCGGGGUCGGCUGUUGGACGGGGGUUCGAUUCCCCCCAUCUCCACCU